AAGGAUCAUUACUGAAUUGUCAACACGAGUUGUUGCUGGUCCUCAAAUGGGGGCAUGUGCACACUCUGUUUACACAUCCACUCACACCUGUGCACCCUCUGUAGUUCUAUGGCCUGAGGGAUGAUGUCCACUUGCCAUGGUUCUAUAUCUUUACACACACACACCGUGAUAAAGUCUUAUGGAAUGUAUGCCGCGUUUAACGCAAUACAAUACAACUUUCAGCAACGGAUCUCUUGGCUCUC
rnacentral:misc_RNA from 1 species